AUUGCAUUCGAUACUGGUUAGCUAGAGUGUGGGAGAGGAUGGUAGAAUUCCAGGUGUAGCGGUGAAAUGCGUAGAGAUCUGGAGGAAUACCGAUGGCGAAGGCAGCCAUCUGGCCUAACACUGACGCUGAGGUGCGAAAGCAUGGGGAGCAAACAGGAUUAGAUACCCUGGUAGUCCAUGCCGUAAACGAUGUCUACUAGCCGUUGGGGCCUUUGAGGCUUUAGUGGCGCAGCUAACGCGAUAAGUAGACCGCCUGGGGAGUACGGUCGCAAGACUAAAACUCAAAUGAAUUGACGGGGGCCCGCACAAGCGGUGGAGCAUGUGGUUUAAUUCGAUGCAACGCGAAGAACCUUACCUGGCCUUGACAUAGUAAGAACUUUCCAGAGAUGGAUUGGUGCCUUCGGGAACUUACAUACAGGUGCUGCAUGGCUGUCGUCAGCUCGUGUCGUGAGAUGUUGGGUUAAGUCCCGCAACGAGCGCAACCCUUUUCCUUAUUUGCCAGCGAGUAAUGUCGGGAACUUUAAGGAUACUGCCAGUGACAAACUGGAAGAAGGCGGGGACGACGUCAAGUCAUCAUGGCCCUUACGGCCAGGGCUACACACGUGCUACAAUGGUCGGUACAAAGGGUUGCUACCUGGCGAUAGGAUGCUAAUCUCAAAAAGCCGAUCGUAGUCCGGAUUGG
rnacentral:rRNA from 1 species